rnacentral:tRNA from 1 species
GACAGCGUAGCUCAGUUGGAAGAGUAUUGGGCUAGUAUUCCAAAGGUCGUAGGUUCGAAUCCCACCGUGGCCG